rnacentral:rRNA from 1 species
GUUUGAUCCUGGCUCAGGACGACUUUUGGCGGCGUGCUUAACACAUGCAAGUCGAACGGAAAGGCCCAGCUUGCUGGGUACUCGAGUGGCGAACGGGUGAGUAACACGUGGGUGAUCUGCCCCGCACUCUGGGAUAAGCCUGGGAAACUGGGUCUAAUACCGGAUAUGACCAACUGUCGCAUGGUGGUUGGUGGAAAGCUUUUGCGGUGUGGGAUGGGCCCGCGGCCUAUCAGCUUGUUGGUGGGGUAAUGGCCUACCAAGGCGACGACGGGUAGCCGACCCGAGAGGGUGAUCGGCCACACUGGGACUGAGACACGGUCCAGACUCCUACGGGAGGCAGCAGUGAGGAAUUUUCUGCAAUGGGCGAAAGCCUGACAGAGCAAUACCGCGUGAGGGAUGAAGACUUACUGAGUUGUAAACCUCGGUACCUUAAGGAAGAAGAUCUGGCGGUACUUAAGGUGGAAAGCAUCGGCUAACUCCGUGCCAGCAGCCGCGGUAAGACGGGGGAUGCAAGUGUUAUCCGGAUUUACUGGGCGUAAAGCGUCUGCAGGUGGUUUCUUAAGUCUACUGUUAAAUCUUGAGGCUCAACCUCAAAUCUGCAGUAGAAACUAGGAGACUUGAGUAUAGUAGGGGUAGAGGGAAUUUCCAGUGGAGCGGUGAAAUGCGUAGAUAUUGGAAAGAACACCGAUGGCGAAGGCACUCUACUGGGCUAUUACUGACACUCAGAGACGAAAGCUAGGGGAGCAAAUAGGAUUAGAUACCCCAGUAGUCCUAGCCGUAAACGAAUGGAUACUUGAUGUUGGACGUAUCGACCCGUUCAGUAUCUUAGCUAACGCGUUAAGUAUCCCGCCUGGGGAGUACGCUCGCAAGAGUGAAACUCAAAGGAAUUGACGGGGGCCCGCACAGGCGGUGGAGGAUGUGGUUUAAUUCGAUGCAACGCGAAGAACCUUACCAGGGUUUGCUAGAAGUGUUGGUUUUCUGAAAAGAAUUCCUUAUUCCGCUUCUACAGGUGGUGCAUGGCUGUCGUCAGCUCAUGUCGUGAGAUGUUGGGUUAAGUCCCGCAACGAGCGCAACCCACGUCUUUAGUUGCCAGCAUGUAAAGAUGGGCACUCUAGCAAGACUGCCGGUGACAAAUCGGAGGAAGGUGGGGACGACGUCAAAUCAUCAUGCCCCUUAUGUCCUGGGCUACACACGUACUACAAUGGCUAUAACAGCAGGAAGCGAAGCGGUAACGCGGAGCAAAUCCUCAAAAAUAGUCCCAGUUCGGAUUGUGGGCUGAAACCCGCCCACAUGAAGUUGGAAUUGCUAGUAAUGGCAGGUCAGCAUACUGCCGUGAAUACGUUCCCGAGCCUUGUAC